rnacentral:rRNA from 1 species
AGGACGAACGCUGGCGGCGUGCUUAACACAUGCAAGUCGAGCGGUAAGGCCUCUUCGGGGGUACACGAGCGGCGAACGGGUGAGUAACACGUGAGUAAUCUGCCCUCCACUUGGGGAUAAGCUUCGGAAACGGGGUCUAAUACCUGAUACGACAACUAUCCGCAUGGGUUGGUUGUGGAAAGUUUUUUCGGUGGGGGAUGUGCUCGCGGCCUAUCAGCUUGUUGGUGGGGUAAUGGCCUACCAAGGCUUCGACGGGUAGCCGGCCUGAGAGGGUGACCGGCCACACUGGGACUGAGACACGGCCCAGACUCCUACGGGAGCAGCAGUGGGGAAUAUGGACAAUGGGCGGAAGCCUGAUCCAGCAACGCCGCGUGAGGGAUGACGGCCUUCGGUUGUAAACCUCUUUCAGUACCGACGAAGCGCCCGUUGUGGUGGUGACGGUAGGUACAGAAGAAGCACCGGCCAACUACGUGCCAGCAGACCGC